rnacentral:rRNA from 1 species
AAACUUUCAGCAUGGAAA